AGUAGUUGUUGUAGAUGGUGUAGGCGUAGGAGUUGUUGUAGUAGUAGUAGGUGAUGUAGUUGUAGUGGUUUGGGAUGUGGUCGUGGUGGGUGUUUCUGUAGUAGUUGUUGUAGAUGGUGUAGGCGUAGGAGUUGUUGUAGUAGUAGUAGGUGAUGUAGUUGUAGUGGUUGGGGGUGUGGUCGUGGUGGGCGUUUCAGUAGUAGUUGUUGUAGAUGGUGUAGGAGUUGUAGUAGUAGUAGUAGGUGAUGUAGUUGUAGUGGUUGGGGGUGUGGUCGUGGUGGGCGUUUCAGUAGUAGUUGUUGUAGGUGGUGUUGUAGUAGUCAUUGAUGUAGUGGUAGAAUGACAGGGGAUCUCACAGCACACUCUGAUCUUAUAGUUUCGACACUUCCUUUUAUAAGGCUGGUCUUGCUGUCUACAGAUCAGUCCAUAGGAGACAUUGCAGGUGACCACUUGCUGUGUGCCGCUCACAAAAUCCUCAAAGCUCAUGUCUGGAAACUCACUCGAUCUGCAGUCGAUCUCUGUAGGUGAAUCACAUAUCACAAGACCACUGUCUGUAAUGUUUUUAUACGUCUCCCAGUCACUUCUGUCGACUUGAUUGUCUGGGUGAUGAACGUCAUACCAAUCCGACCACUCACAGGUGGGGAUGCAUGGUGUGGGAGUGAUGGUAGGUGUUGUAAUUGUAGUAGUUGUAGUGGUUGGGGUUGUGGUCGUGGUGGGGGUU
ensembl:lncRNA